UUCAAGGCCUUCCUAGUCUGACCUCUCUGCCUUUUUAUCCACUUUCCUUACACCCCACGGUCCCUCUACUUGGACUGUCCUCUCUGCCAUGUCAAACCCCAUCUGACGAUUGAGGCCUGACUAAUUCCAUGCCACCCACAAGGCCUUCCGAGCUCUCCUGGUGCCUCUCCCCUCAAACAAAGCCUCCAGUGUUGUAAAUUAAUAAACCCUCAUCAUGUGGUAACGACCCUCUCCUAUUACUAGGUACUACUGUAUGAUUCUUUAACAGCUGUUUACAUUUCUAUGUGCCUUGUCUGUAUGUUUCCUUCAUAGAACUGCAAAGAAAUGUCAAGCACAUGACCGCAGCUAGACAAUCCAAGGCAAGAUGAAUGUCAGAAGAUUUUGGCUUCCUGGAAAAAACUCACCAUGGACUUUGGUUAUUCAGAAUUAGCUACUUCUUCUGUAAGGCUAUCAGGAACUAUGGACCUCACAACAUGAAGGAAAAUAAGCCUUGGCAUCAUUUAAGGCUAUACCGAUGAAGCAAGGAGAGAAAGGAACACUUAACGACAAGCCGCGAUACAAAAGGAGAAGGUGUGUGCAAUCCUGUUUAACAACCUUCGCAUCUUUUGUCACAGUUUAACUUGCGCACACACGUACACACAUAAGUGUUGCGAUAAUCCAACAGACGUCUGCACCCGGCACUGUGGGGUUAAUUCUCUGACUCCCACACAGCAGGUGGUCACAAUCUAACAGCAAUAUUUACUAGGAGAGUCUGACAGCUUCCUAGGGAACAUCCCUAGAGCUUCUAGAAGGAUGCUACACGUGAGAUCUAGAAAGAUGCUACACGUGAGAAAAACGAAUAGUCUGAAAAACUGAAAUGUUUCAGUCAAGCUUACAUGAUUUUAAUUUUUAAAAACAAAUCCAAAGAACAGUAUUUUAUUUCAGCGGUCUUCUAUGAGCAAUUUGAUAUACAAAAACUGUUUUCUUAAAAGUCUCAACCAUAAGAAAAUACUUUUUAUUCUUUGAGAUUUCUUUAAAUGUUUUUAUUAUCAACAUCACCUCUCUGUAAUUUGUAUUUAGCUACCACACCUCAAAUUAUUUGCUUUAAUUAAAACUAUAAUAAUUAAAA